AUGGAAAGCAACUGAGACUUAACUGACUGUGAGACCCUGAGAUUUAACUGACUUGCAACUUCACAGACUCCACCUUAAAAGGUGGGGCUUCUUUUAGGACAACCUAGGAUUGACCUCAGUUCCAGGAAUGUGCUGAUAGAGAAACUGACAACCAAUUGGACAGUCAGCUAAGGUGUGAGACCGAAAAAGUCUCUGAAGACAUCCACCCAUCCACCGUCGCAGAUACCUGUUCACACCUUGGCAAGUCAAUUUCUGCACACAAAACCUCUUAUCUGAGGCUCCCCAAAGAGACAAACGCUAAAGCAAUUCUCAGUCUCGUGUCAUCCAUGGUUUUACAAGUGUCCCCUUGCAAUCAAGUUUUGCAGAGGCUUUGAACCUUCAGGAAGCCCUCAGGAUCUGGUUUCUGGAAUAAAGUUUGCUUCUGGUUUAUUAGACUUGGUG